UCCCCGAUAGUCUAGUGGUGAGAAUAUCUGCUUGUCAUUGAAGUUCGACGAUUCGCAGGGGACCGGGGUUCAAUUCCCCGUCGAGGAG
rfam:Colletotrichum salicis strain CBS 607.94 Scaffold_2008.1, whole genome shotgun sequence.